AACGAACGCUGGCGGCGUGCCUAACACAUGCAAGUCAUGCGAGAAAGUUCCUUCGGGAGCGAGUAAAGCGGCGCACGGGUGAGUAACACGUAGGUAACCUGCCCCCCAGUCUGGAACAACUAGAGGAAACUCUAGCUAAUGCCGGAUGAGACCACGAUCCCUUCGGGGGUUGCGGCCAAAGAUGGCCUCUACUUGUAAGCUAUCGCUGAGGGAUGGGCCUGCGGGCCAUUAGCUUGUUGGUGAGGUAACGGCUCACCAAGGCUGUGAUGGCUAGCUGGUCUGAGAGGAUGACCAGCCACACUGGGACUGAGACACGGCCCAGACUCCUACGGGAGGCAGCAGUGGGGAAUAUUGCGCAAUGGGCGAAAGCCUGACGCAGCGACGCCGCGUGGGUGAUGAAGGCCUCGGUCGUAA
rnacentral:rRNA from 1 species